GAUGAAGAACGUAGCGAAAUGCGAUAAGUAAUGUGAAUUGCAGAAUUCAGUGAAUCAUCGAAUCUUUGAACGCACAUUGCGCCCGCCAGUAUUCUGGCGGGCAUGCCUGUCUGAGCGUCAUUUCAACCCUCAUGCCCCUAGGGCGUGGUGUUGGGGAUCGGCCAAAGCCCGCGAGGGACGGCCGGCCCCUAAAUCUAGUGGCGGACCCGUCGUGGCCUCCUCUGCGAAGUAGUGAUAUUCCGCAUCGGAGAGCGACGAGCCCCUGCCGUUAAACCCCCAACUUUCCAAGGUUGACCUCAGAUCAGGUAGGAAUACCCGCUGAACUUAAGCAUAUCAAUAAGCCGGAGGA
rnacentral:misc_RNA from 1 species